AUAGACUAUUGCUGUUCAAUAUAGGGAAACUGCUCAAAUGAACUUCUUGAGAGAAUGAUAAAAUUUCAGAAACGUGCAGCUCGCAUUAUUCUUGAUCAAGAGGCAGAUGCACCAUCUGACCCUCUUUUCAAAGAAUUAAAAUGGAUAAAAUUUAACGACAGAGUUGAGUACAAAAAAGCUAUUUUAAUUUACAAAUCGUUAAAUGAAGAAAACUCGCCAUGCUACAUGAAAGAAAAAUUUCAAUUUGCUUCAACUUUACAUAACCGAAAUCUCAGAUCAACAAAUAAUCUUAAUCUACAUAUUCCUAAGCCUAAUCUUGAGUUUUAUCGAAAAUCACUUUCUUAUUCUGGAACUAAAAUUUGGAAUAAUAUACCUCUCUUUGUACGCCAAUCUAAAAAUACUGAAAAUUUCAAAAAAGCUUAAAAGUGGAAGUACUCUGGCUAACUUUCCUUCAAUCAAAAUUAUUAUUCCAUGCUUAUAUGUGACGUCGUCUUUGAAAACCGGUCCAGAUGCGGCAUGACGUAAUAUCGAGAAACGAUGUCUAAAGUUGCGCCAAGUUUACGCGCGCAGCUUUCUUACACAUGUUUUAAUUAGCAAAAGUUUGACCGUUAAAGUACGACUGCUUGUUACAUGACUGAUAACAGCCUACUACAGAAAGAAUAUUUAGACAUCAGACCUGUAAAUAAAUAGUGGUAUUACGCCUGAGACAAAAUACUUCGUUCAAAAUCAGUUGUUUCCUCUUCGCUACUGUAUGUUUCCGGUUUCGGAUUUUAUCAGGGAAGCAUGUGAAGUGUACUUUUGUUUAACUACCUUUUGUUCAACGAUGAAGAGAUCUGAGACUUGUAAUACUGUUUACUGAUUUGAUAAUAUUUCUUGUUCCUUUGAUGGUUCAUUCCACUACAGCUGGUUCAUAUACCCUACAACAGCCAGGAAAUUGGUCUGUUUACUUUAAGAUCAGAAGAAAAUGUAACAUAUUUUGGAUGUGCUUUGAGGAAUCAGGAAGGCAAGUGUUUCCUCUUGUUUAUGAAAGAAACUCAGUUGGUUAAGGGGCAGACAACUUGUGAGCAUGGUACAUCACUACCUGUAUUGGUAUUCCAUUUUGACAAUGCUACUAGCUAGAAUAAAAAUAACAUCUUGCUGUGGUAUGGUCUGUGGAGAGUUUUACUAGGAUAUCACAGAUCGAUUGAAUAUUCAACAAUGAUCACAGACCAUGCAAAGUUUGAAUCUGACUUGCACUUUUGAAUUUAGAAGAAUCUGUGGAGGAGGGUGAAUGCUGAGACCUUUAAUAAUACAUGAUAUUGCUGACACAGUGUGUCAGUCAUCAAAGAAAGGUCAUAACAUUGCACAGUUGGUCAACAAUGAUUUAAAUCCUGUCACAUUCUACCAGUGGAGAAAUAUCUUAUCACAAUAUUUUAAACUUCUGAAGAAGAUAACUAAGUAUUACCACUUUACCAUGUCUGCAGAAACACCUGGAUUGUUAGUGUUAAAAGUGACAGUCCAGUUGAGACAGUUAACUUACUAAAAUAUACACCCCCUUGCCAAACGAAUAUUACUGACAUGGAAUGACACAAGCCUGACAAUGGUACCUGUAUGAACUCCUAAGAGAAUAGUAUUUGUCUGAAAAGUCAAAGGAUUCUGUUUGUCCCAGACCACUUGAACUGAAAACUGAAAUUGUGAUUGACGAGGAUUUUUCUGAGAACUGAAAAAAGGAAGUGAAUAUAAAAGAUAGAAAUUGUUCUUGAAUUCAAACGUUUUAAUACACAACACUUUAGCCUGUUUUGCUGUUCAUAUAGAUGUGUUUAGCUGUUAAGGUUAAACAUCAAGUAAAGGUUGUAGUUUCAGUUACCUACAUUAAAGUAUUGGCUGGAAAUAAAUAUUUACUUUUCA